UGUGUUUCUGUUAUAAAAAGGAAAACACAGCACUCAAGGACAGUUAAAAAUCAUGGAAUUGCUCCAUCUGCCUUGCAACAAAUAAAGUUUGCCCCUGAUGGGAGACAAGUUCCUGACGGGCUCCUGGUACGCCUGCACCAGGAAACGAUGGGCUCUCCGAACCUCACAAAA